GAUGAACGCUGGCGGCGUGCCUAAUACAUGCAAGUCGAGCGAACAGACGAGGAGCUUGCUCCUCUGACGUUAGCGGCGGACGGGUGAGUAACACGUGGAUAACCUACCUAUAAGACUGGGAUAACUUCGGGAAACCGGAGCUAAUACCGGAUAAUAUAUUGAACCGCAUGGUUCAAUAGUGAAAGACGGUUUUGCUGUCACUUAUAGAUGGAUCCGCGCCGCAUUAGCUAGUUGGUAAGGUAACGGCUUAACAAGGCAACGAUGCGUAGCCGACCUGAGAGGGGGAUCGGCCACACUGGAACUGAGACACGGUCCAGACUCCUACGGGAGGCAGCAGUAGGGAAUCUUCCGCAAUGGGCGAAAGCCUGACGGAGCAACGCCGCGUGAGUGAUGAAGGUCUUCGGAUCGUAAAACUCUGUUAUUAGGGAAGAACAAAUGUGUAAGUAACUAUGCACGUCUUGACGGUACCUAAUCAGAAAGCCACGGCUAACUACGUG
rnacentral:rRNA from 1 species